CGCCUGGUCGCGCGCUCGACCCCGCCGCCCCUGAGCCCCCGGCCGCGCCUCGGUUCCGGCACGCCGACCCCGGAGCGCUGCGCCCCGAGGGGACACAAGGCGGCGGCCCCGGCGCCGGCUUCUUCAGGAGCCACUUCUGCGCCUCGGCCAGGUUUAUUCUACUCCUUCCUCCCGGUGGCGGAUCCUCCCAGGAGAGAGCGCUGCAAACUGGGCGGCAGCUCGCGGCACCGGCAACCCCUCCCAGGGGUGGGGACAGCCACGCACGUUAUUCUGUCAGGAUCGGCUCGGCAAGAGCCCCGGCGC
rnacentral:lncRNA from 1 species